GACAACUUAGCAGAGAUCGCCCGGUGAUGACGUUCGAAGAAGAAUCUGUGACUUGACCGACUUUAACGUGUCGCGUUGAACCCAAGGCCUAAAGCGGGUAGGGGCAAGAGAGCCAUUUCUGCAGGGCCGUGACCUAGCGUGCGGACCGGCCACCGUGUGCCACUCGAGUCCCGCAGCCGCGCCUCCUGCCCCAACAGGCCGCCCGCCCCCCACAGCUCCGCGUGCUCCCGCCGCCUCGCGCUCAGUUUCGGGUCCUCACAGUCCUGCCGAUGCCGAGUCAGCCCCCCGCACCCGCGACUGGAGCUGUGGCAGGUCCUAACAUGCGAGGACGCCAUGGGAAACCGCAGAGUACUGGAGAUCAGCGCUGGGGAAUUUAGGAUUGUUUCCAAAACCUGGGUGUGGGCAGGGGGCGGACACGGAGAUGGCAGGGACAGGGAUGCUGGAGGCCCACGAAGGGCAAGUGGGACAGAUGGGGAGAGAGUGUCCCUGCGGGCGGAAGUCAGCGGAUGCAGAGGCGUGGACCAGCGAUGGCAGGUGUCGUGGGGACACCCCCAGGUGGCUGAACCCCGAUGUGUCGGCUGCACGCUGUGAAGUGGCAGCUGGGGAGGCCGCGGGGCCCAGAUCGUCACCAAGCUCAGAGGCGAUAAGGAAUUCAAUCCCAGAGGUGAUGGCGCCGCUUCGAAGGGCUUGAGGCAGGGGAGCGGCGUGGAUUAAUUCGUACCGUGUGGAUCACUGUGAACGGGAGGAGGCUCUGCCGGACGCGGGUGAACCCAGGGCUCCGGGUCAGGAGGCCUUGGGCGGCCAAGGCCGGAGAUGAUAAAACCCUGAGCGGGGUGUGGGAAGCCGGGUGCAGAGGGCGCGACACAGCAGGGGUUGGACCCGACAGCACAAGGGGGGGCCGUCUGCCGGAUGAGGAGGGGACAGGCCUGUGAUCUCGGCACAUCUGAUUGGAGGAUGGUGAGGUCACUGAUUGGCAGCCACCAGGAGGAGGAGCCUCAGCCCAAGGCCAGGGCUCCCCAGGACCAGGCUUUGGGUUUGGGGCAUCCAGCAGGAUCAAGUCAAGAUGCUCCUAGGCACACGGUCCGGAGUUCAGUGAGGACAGCAGAGCGGGGGCAACAGACCGAAGGGUCCUCAGCAUGCAGGUGGCCCCGCGGACCGGAGGAUGGUGAAAGACAGGAAUAUGUUUCCCUCCG
rnacentral:lncRNA from 12 species